rnacentral:snoRNA from 1 species
AUUCCAUUGUGUUGACACUUUUUGACUAUAUCCUUGAAUCCUUCCCAAGUUUUGAAAACAGUUUCUAUCUCCUUCUGUGAAAAAUUGUGGAUUUCCCUUCUAAACAU